GACGAACGCUGGCGGCGUGCUUAACACAUGCAAGUCUACGAGAAGGGAGUAGCAAUACUCCUGGUAAAGUGGCGCACGGGUGAGUAACACGUAAGCAAUCUACCUUUAGGUUCGGAAUAACCCCGCGAAAGCGGGAUUAAUACCGGAUAAUGCAGCGGCACCACAUGGUGAUGUUGUUAAAGUUCAUGUAACGCCUAUAGAUGAGCUUGCGUCUGAUUAGCUAGUUGGUGAGGUAACGGCCCACCAAGGCAACGAUCAGUAGCUGGUCUGAGAGGAUGAUCAGCCACACUGGAACUGAGACACGGUCCAGACUCCUACGGGAGGCAG
rnacentral:rRNA from 1 species